AUGGCUGAGAAUAAAAACCCAUUUCUAACAGGGUCCUUGCAGGUCCGGUGGCAUCCCUUCUCUAGCGGCUGCAUGCUGACACUUCGCUUCCUGCAUGGACCACUGGGCUCCUGGGUGUCUGGAAGGAGUCCACUGAAUUUCCAUGCAAACCUGGUGUCUGCUGAUGGGCCUGGUCUGAGAAGGGUUCCUGGGAUGGAGGACAAGGCUUUGGCACCCAGGAGCUCUGAACCCGAUGUUAGUAGUUUGGCCAGCUCAUCCUGGACAUUGGCUAAUGUCUCAUGCAUGGAGUGUGCUGGCCUGAAGGCCAAAGCUGGCCAGGGCAGGAAGUCGGCCCGAAAGGUCGGUGCCAGUUAACGAUACAACACAUAGCAGAGGCCUGAGGAUUCAGCGGGCUUGGCUAAAACCCUCGUUUGGCCUGCUUGCUAUUUCUCUUUUAUCCUGCUGACCAAGAGCUGUGUGACACCCUUGGACAGCAGUCACAUAUUUUCUUUUCAUGUAAAAAUAGUAAGCUGAAAUUUCAUACAGAAAAUGAGAAUUAUAUGUACAUUAAUCUUUAUGCCUACAAGAUACUGUGACAAACGAAAAGAGAAACCAAAAUAAAAUAUACAUUUUCUGGGAAGGAAAAUUUUAUGUUUAGUGGGCAUGCUGUUAAAAUAUUUAUCAUUUACAAUCAGUUUUAAGGGAGAUAGAAUCUGCAAUAACGUUUUUGAGGACAACAGUGGAGGCUACUUCUGUAUCUGAUUUAGAAAUAGACACCAGAGUUCAUCCCUCCUGAGUCAAUGGGUGUUUUGAAUGCCUUUUUAGAGCACUCUAAGAUAUAUAAAUGACACAGUCUCAACCAUUUGGUAGAUUCAGCAUCUCUCCUGAACUAAUCCGUGAUACUAGACAGAAAGCAUGUUGGUAAGCUUCACGAGAUGGACGGCCUCCUUCUUGGGGAUCAUGCAUUCCCACCAGGAAACAUGAGACUUCCAAUGACUUCUCACAAGGGAGUCCCUGGUCCCCACUCCACUGAUGAGUAUCUACUUCCCACCCAUUCAUUCCCAUCACAGCAUUCUCAAGAAAGGAGUCCCUAGUCCCCACUCUGUUGAUGAGCAUCUACUUCCCACCCAUUGAUUCCCAUCACAGCAGCCAUGUGACAUCUUUGCCUAGUGAGACCUAAUGGAUGUGCCCUGUGCCACCUGCCAGCAGAAGACUUGAAGCCCUUGCCUUCUAUCACCAUGUAAGUGGUCCUUCUGACCUGGGGGCUGGUCCUUCAUGAGAGUGGUCCUGAUGACAUGGGGGCUGCUCCUUCAUGAGACUGGUCCUGCUGACCUGGGGGAUGGUCCUUCAUGAGAUUGGUCCUGCUGACCUGGGGGCUGGUCCUUCACGACGGUGGUCCUGCUGACCUGAGGGCUGGUCCUUCAUGAGAGUGGUCCUGCCGACCUGGGGGCUGGUCCUUCAGCCAGGCCCUGAUCAGAGAAUUCAAGGCAUAGAGCUGAAGCCAGUCCUUAGCAUCAAGGACCAAGAGUGACAAAUUAACACUCCUUAUGAGCUACUGAGAUUGUGAGCCUGAUUGCUUGAACUAGCUGAUGUAUCUAUGUAUCAUGGUCACUGAAGGAGGACUCCUCUUACCAGUCACAGAUUUAGGGAAUAAUCAUUACUGAAAUGUCAUCUCCCAAACUCAUUCCCUGGCAUCUCAAUUUACUACACCCCCAUGAGAGACUGUGCUUUUUGGGGUCCCAUAGGCCCCAUGGAACCAGCCACUGAGGAUCAAGGAGGGCCAUCAUGAUCUGUCCCAGUGACAUAACAGCAACUGAUUCCACAAGCAGCAUAAUUAAAUAGUAAAAAUGUUCGGUAAAGAAUGUAAGUGCUCACUCUUGAGUUUUACUCCUUUCAGCACCUGCAAUCCUCUUCAUUAUUGAUAUAGGUGUGUAUUAGUCCAUUUUCAUAUUGCUAUGAAGAGAUGCCAAGACUGCGUUAUUUAUCAAGAAAAAGUGGUUUAAUGGACUCACAUUCCACAAGGCUGGGAGGCCUCAGAGUCAU
rnacentral:lncRNA from 1 species